GCUUUGGGGACCAUUUUUUCCUCGCAGAGAAAGCCUGCCUUGGCCUAGGACCUCGCCAGGACUUCCGUGCUCCCAUGUCUCCUGGGCUUGCCUCCAGCACCGCGACUGCUGUUGUCUGCCCAUCUUCACCGGCCUGGGAGCGCUCUGAGAGCAAGGACCAGGAAUGACUUUGGUCUCUGGGUGUCCAGAGCCCGACACGCAGUAGUUGCUCGCUGAAGGUUAACUGUAGAGCGACAAGCUGUGGCUGGCUGAGCAGCAGAAGCCUACUUCCCGGCUCACAGGCAGGUGGAAACUGACUUUGGCCUCACCACACCCGACCCUUGUGGUCAAUUGGAAAGACUUUACAUCUGAAAUAAAUAUGAUCAAGCAACAAAUGCCUUAGGAAGUGACCAGUUUGAUAAUACAUCCCUGCCAUGGCUCUCCUUCCUUCCCUGCUUUAUAACCCCUGUCCCUCGCUCCUGGUUCUUGGACUCGCACUUGCCAAUAAAGUCCUCAUAUGAGGAACCUACACUAAGGCACGCUGGUACCAAGAGUGGCCCCAGGAAUCAGCCCUUGGGUUGGAAUUUCAGAACUGGACUGCUCAGCAGUCGGGUGGCAGAAACCCCAGCGCUGGUGGUCUAAGAUUGUUUGAAGCCACCUUGCGGUCAAGAGAGAACUGGGAUAAGCUGCCUGCCCUUGCGCGGGCUAGACCAGAGCCAUCCUGCAACAAACAGGACCCAAGAUUCCUCUAAGUUUACCCCCCUACCACCAAAUUUGAUUAUAAAAAUUUGUAAACUAUAUACAUUUUAAAAGACAAAACAAGAGACUUCAAAGACUUUGUAAACUGAGUGGGCUAGUCCCAGAUACUCAGCCGUUAGCAGUACCUGGGAGAUGAGGCUGAGAAGCAUGACCUGGUGCCCUGCUCCCUCAGCUUGGCUUGCAUUCUGUUGCCUCCCCUGUCCGAUAGAGAGGUGAAGUGAUUUGGCCUUGCUUGUACAGCUAGGUGAAGUUCGGGCCAGUGGUAUGCUGAAGCAUUCUCAACCAGUUCAUGAGACCUGUUGUUAAAUUCUCAGGAAUUCUGUGCAUCAGCCAUUAUUAAAAGUUAAAUUAUAUAAACUUACAAUUAAGAAAUUAUAUGAACAAUAAAUUAACCUCAGAGGUAAUAGUGUUCAAAACAUCACUUUCUAAAUACUUCUCUACAUUUUAUCAUUAUCUAUUCUCCUAAAGCUGUAUCUAUUUUAUAUAUACAAUGUACUUCUGAUAAUCUCUUCCCAACUCCACAUGCACAGUGACGUCACCUUGGUAGGCGAAAAUCAGCACUGGUGGAACUAGUUACAUCACAGAAAUCGGCAAAUGCUUCAUGUCUGGGGUUGACUUAUUGUUAGUUGUCUAGACCAGAGCUGGCAAUCUUUUCCUAGAAAAUCCAGAAUAGUAAGUAUUUUCAGCUUUGUGGACUGCAUAGUCUGUUGCAACUAGUCAACUCUGCCGUUGCAGCACAAAAGCAGACAGAGGCAGGAGUGUCAGUGGAUGGGCAGGCUGUAUUCCAAUAAAGCUUUAUUUACAAAUUAAGGUUAUAUAGCUUCAUAAAAUGAAUUGAGAGGCAUCUCUCUUUUUCUGUCUUCUGGAGAUCUUGGGCAAGGCAGGUAUUAUCAAUCCCUUGAAAGUUUGGUUAAACUCUUUUGUAGUUAUGUGAGGCUAGGCCUUUUUUGGUGGGAGAGAUGUUGGAUUAGGGUUUCAAUUUUUAAUUGAAUUUUUAAUUUAAUUUUCCUUUUUCUUUGUUUUUUGUUUUACCAAUUUUGGUAU